rnacentral:rRNA from 1 species
UCAGAGUGAACGCUGGCGGUAGGCCUAACACAUGCAAGUCGAACGGCAGCACAGUAAGAGCUUGCUCUUACGGGUGGCGAGUGGCGGACGGGUGAGGAAUACAUCGGAAUCUACUUUUUCGUGGGGGAUAACGUAGGGAAACUUACGCUAAUACCGCAUACGACCUACGGGUGAAAGCAGGGGAUCUUCGGACCUUGCGCGAUUGAAUGAGCCGAUGUCGGAUUAGCUAGUUGGCGGGGUAAAGGCCCACCAAGGCGACGAUCCGUAGCUGGUCUGAGAGGAUGAUCAGCCACACUGGAACUGAGACACGGUCCAGACUCCUACGGGAGGCAGCAGUGGGGAAUAUUGGACAAUGGGCGCAAGCCUGAUCCAGCCAUACCGCGUGGGUGAAGAAGGCCUUCGGGUUGUAAAGCCCUUUUGUUGGGAAAGAAAUCCAGCUGGUUAAUACCCGGUUGGGAUGACGGUACCCAAAGAAUAAGCACCGGCUAACUUCGUGCCAGCAGCCGCGGUAAUACGAAGGGUGCAAGCGUUACUCGGAAUUACUGGGCGUAAAGCGUGCGUAGGUGGUCGUUUAAGUCUGUUGUGAAAGCCCUGGGCUCAACCUGGGAACUGCAGUGGAAACUGGACGACUAGAGUGUGGUAGAGGGUAGCGGAAUUCCUGGUGUAGCAGUGAAAUGCGUAGAGAUCAGGAGGAACAUCCAUGGCGAAGGCAGCUACCUGGACCAACACUGACACUGAGGCACGAAAGCGUGGGRAGCAAACAGGAUUAGAUACCCUGGUAGUCCACGCCCUAAACGAUGCGAACUGGAUGUUGGGUGCAAUUUGGCACGCAGUAUCGAAGCUAACGCGUUAAGUCGCC